UUGGAGGGCAAGUCUGGUGCCAGCAGCCGCGGUAAUUCCAGCUCCAAUAGCGUAUAUUAAAGUUGUUGCAGUUAAAAAGCUCGUAGUUGAAUUUCGAGAUCAAAUUGUUGGUCGUGCCUUGGUACGUACUGACAUUAUUGAUUUCUCCCUUCUGAAGAACCAUGAUGUCAUUAAUUUGGUGUCUUGGGGAAUCAGGACUGUUACUUUGAAAAAAUUAGAGUGUUUAAAGCAGGCUCGCGCUUGAAUACAUUAGCAUGGAAUAAUGAAAUAGGACGUUUAAUUCUAUUUUGUUGGUUUCUAGGAUUGACGUAAUGAUUAAUAGGGAUAGUUGGGGGGCAUUAGUAUUCAAUUGUCAGAGGUGAAAUUCUUGGAUUUAUUGAAGACUAACUACUGCGAAAGCAUUUGCCAA
rnacentral:rRNA from 1 species